rnacentral:rRNA from 1 species
GCAAGUCGAACGAACCCUUCGUGGUGAGUGGCGCACGGGUGCGUAACGCGUGGGAACCUGCCUUUAGGUUCGGAAUAACAGUUGGAAAAGACUGCUAAUACCGAAUAAUGUCUUCGGACCAAAGAUUUAUCGCCUUUAGAUGGGCCCGCGUUGGAUUAGCUAGUUGGUAAGGUAAAAGCCUACCAAGGCGACGAUCCAUAGCUGGUCUGAGAGGAUGAUC